rnacentral:lncRNA from 1 species
CCUUUACUGUGUUUCUUAAAGCCUUUGGUGGUAUCCUUUUCAUCAUCAGCAGCUUGUUCGGAGCGUUCGUACUGGUGUGUACUCUUCUUAUGAAUGCACUGGAUCAAGAAUUAUUUCUUGUUAAGGGGUUAUCAAGAUGCAUACUAUUGUGGCUGCCAUUAAAUGUAGACUUGCAUCGCCAUCUCUUCUCAAACUAAUAAAAAUGAAGUAUUGAUGCCUUGCCAUUUAGGUAGUUUUAACAACUUCAGUGUGUCCAUUUUACUGGCUGUAAAAUGCCAAAUCUGGCAUUGUUGCUGCUUCGAUGUUUGAUCUUCAUACAUUUUGCUUCAGCAAUAUCCUGUUGUAGCAUCUGACAGUGGAAUGCUUUAACAACAACCUUCUAGAAAGAUUCCAAAUGUGGUGGAAGGUUAUUCUUAUUGUUUAACCACUUGAUAGGCUCAUGUCUGUUGAUUUUGUGCAACUGAUUUGCUGUAGUCCAAAUUUACGUGUUUAUGCUUAUAUUUAUUGUUUGCAUUCUAUAUGUGACAAUGCAAUAGUUCUUUGAGGCAUCAAUCCAUGAUAACUGGGCAUAUCGGUUUAUGCUUAGAUACAAAGAAACCGAAUAUAUAUUCUGUCUUAUUAUACGAAACCAAUUAUAUUUAAUCCAUGUUAAAAUGAUUAUGCAUUUAUCAUGUUGGAACUUCUUUGUCAAGUAGGUCUCCUCUAGCAUUGGGAAUUUGGGAUGGCAGUGCCACACAUUGAUGUAUGGAUACUUUCUGGUGGCUUGCCCCAUUGUACAUCAUUGUUCCCCUUUUAAGGAUACAUUCACCUAGUUCCUUUUUAGUGUGUUGAUAUUUGAAAGGGGAACGGGGCAACGUGUUGCACUCUUGCUUUUGUUAGAGCACUAUAUUUUAUUGUUAACCAUGCUAUGGUUCAAAGUCCUUUUUAUUCUGCUCAUAUGAUAUUGCUCAUCUUUUGUUUUCUGUCCGAUGCCUCCUGUAUUUAGAGUAGAAAUAUUCUUAAUUUAAUGUUUCUUGAACAUGGCCAGGGCAAUGGAUAAAAUCUACUCUGGAUAGUUGACAGAGGGAGUACAUGCUAAGUUGACUUUUUUCCUGCGGAUUUGCUUAUCGUGAAGAUGCUUGCAAGGAUGCAGAGGGAGCAGAUCAUUUGGAGAGAUAGGAUGCCACUGUUUGGUGUUUUUAUGCAUUUUGGUUUGCUUGUAACUGUGUUUGCACUAGCUGGGAGUAAGUGACUUGGCAAGAAGUGUAGGUGUUUUAAUUGAAGGCAUGAAAAUCCAUGACAAUAUGUAUGCUCUUACAGGAUGUGCUCUAAUGCCACUGGUUUAUUAUAAAUUUUGGAUUAGUAAUGAUGUGUAAUGCUGCUGGUUUAUUGCAAAUAUGUGUUUGUU